UAGGGUAUAGCGAAAGUGGUUAACGUGUUUACUUUGGGAGUAAAAGAUUGUGGGUUCAAAUCCCGCUACCCUAA
rnacentral:tRNA from 1 species